CCCUUAGAGUUUGAUCCUGGCUCAGGACGAACGCUGGCGGCGCGCUUAACACAUGCAAGUCGAACGGGGGUCUUCGGACUCCAGUGGCGAACGGGUGCGUAACACGUGAGUGACCUGCCCUCGUGCGGGGGAUAACCCGGGGAAACCCGGGCUAAUACCGCAUGCGCUCUACGGGCUUCCGGGCCUGUGGAGGAAAAGUGCUUUCGGGCACUGCGCGAGGAGGGGCUCGCGGCGUAUCAGCUGGUUGGUGGGGUAACGGCCCACCAAGGCGAUGACGCGUAGGGGGUCUGAGAGGAUGGCCCCCCACAUUGGGACUGAGAUACGGCCCAGACUCCUACGGGAGGCAGCAGUGGGGAAUCUUGCGCAAUGGCCGAAAGGCUGACGCAGCGACGCCGCGUGCGGGAUGACGCUUUUCGGAGUGUAAACCGCUGUCGGGUGGGAAGAAGGUCCCGGGGAGGAAAUGCCCUGGGGAUGACGGUACCACCAGAGGAAGCACCGGCUAACUUCGUGCCAGCAGCCGCGGUAAUACGAAGGGUGCGAGCGUUGUUCGGAAUUAUUGGGCGUAAAGCGCACGUAGGCGGCUGGGUAAGUCUGUCUGUGAAAGCCCGGGGCUCAACCCCGUGGACUGCAGGGGAUACUGCCUGGCUGGAGACAAGCAGAGGUUGGUAGAAUUCCGGGUGUAGCGGUGGAAUGCGUAGAGAUCCGGAGGAAUACCAGAGGCGAAGGCGGCCAACUGGGCUUGAUCUGACGCUGAUGCACGAAAGCGUGGGGAGCAAACAGGAUUAGAUACCCUGGUAGUCCACGCCCUAAAACUAUGUCAACUGGUUGUCGGGGAAGAAAUUCCUUGGUAACGAAGCUAACGCGUGAAGUUGACCGCCUGGGGAGUACGGCCGCAAGGUUAAAACUCAAAGGAAUUGACGGGGACCCGCACAAGCGGUGGAUUAUGUGGAUUAAUUCGAUGCAACGCGAAAAACCUUACCUACCCUUGACAUGUACGGAACCCUCCAGAGAUGGAGGGGUGCCCGAAAGGGAGCCGUAACACAGGUGCUGCAUGGCUGUCGUCAGCUCGUGUCGUGAGAUGUUGGGUUAAGUCCCGCAACGAGCGCAACCCUUGCCAUUAGUUGCUACAUUCAGUUGGGCACUCUAAUGGGACUGCCGGUGACAAACCGGAGGAAGGUGGGGAUGACGUCAAGUCCUCAUGGCCCUUAUGGGUAGGGCUUCACACGUAAUACAAUGGCCGGUACAGAGGGCUGCCAACCCGCGAGGGGGCGCAAAUCCCAGAAAGCCGGUCGUAGUCCGGAUUGCAGUCUGCAACUCGACUGCAUGAAGCCGGAAUCGCUAGUAAUCGCGGAUCAGCACGUCGCGGUGAAUACGUUCCCGGGUCUUGUACACACCGCCCGUCACACCAUGGGAGUGGGUUUCACCAGAAGUAGUUAGCCUAACCACAAGGAGGGCGACUACCACGGUGAGAUUCAUGACUGGGGUGAAGUCGUAACAAGGUAACCAAGGG
rnacentral:rRNA from 1 species